AUACAGCGAAACUGCGAAUGGCUCAUUAUAUAAGUCAUUUGUUUAUUUGAUAGUGCCUUACUACUUGGAUAACCGUGGUAAUUCUAGAGCUAAUACAUGCUAAAAACCCCGACUUCGGAAGGGGUGUAUUUAUUAGAUACAAAACCAAUGCCCUUCGGGGCUCUUUGGUGAUUCAUGAUAACUAUACGAAUCGCACGGCCUUGCGCCGGCGAUGGUUCAUUCAAAUUUCUUCCCUAUCAACUUUCGAUGUUUGGGUAUUGGCCAAACAUGGUUGCAACGGGUAACGGAGGGUUAGGGCUCGACCCCGGAGAAGGAGCCUGAGAAACGGCUACUACAUCCAAGGAAGGCAGCAGGCGCGCAAAUUACCCAAUCCCGACUCGGGGAGGUAGUGACAAUAAAUACUGAUACAGGGCCCUUUCGGGCCUUGUAAUUGGAAUGAGUACAAUUUAAAUCCCUUAACGAGGAACAAUUGGAGGGCAAGUCUGGUGCCAGCAGCCGCGGUAAUUCCAGCUCCAAUAGCGUAUAU
rnacentral:rRNA from 1 species